AGGACGAACGCUGGCGGCGUGCUUAACACAUGCAAGUCGAACGAGAUCGAUCCAGUAGCAAUACUGGUGAAUAUCUAGUGGCGAACGGGUGAGUAACACGUGAGCAACCUGCCCCGAAGACUGGGAUAACAGCGGGAAACCGGGGCUAAUACCGGAUACGACCUCGAGCGGCAUCUCUUGAGGUGGAAAGCUCCGACGGUGAGGGAUGGGCCCGCGGCCUAUCAGCUUGUUGGUGGGGUAAUGGCCUACCAAGGCGACG
rnacentral:rRNA from 1 species